AAGCGCAGACCUUUGUCCCAGAAUUCUCAUCAAAAGUGUCUUUCAUCUCAUUGGCCCUGUGACCAUCUGAUCCAAGCCUGCAAUCUGACCCUUCCCUCAAUGUUGACCUCAUCCAGGAAGUGCCUCUCUCCCUUCAGGAAGACCCACAUCUGAAUCACCUCAGCAUCCAGGAUCCUGCCUUGUCCCCAGCCCUCACGGUCCAAAUGCCCUGGCAGAUCUGUCCUGACCUGUUCC
rnacentral:lncRNA from 10 species